GCNNNGCGGCGUGCUACCAUGCAGUCGACGAUGAACCACUUCGGUGGGGAUUAGUGGCGAACGGGUGAGUAACACGUGGGCAAUCUGCCCUGCACUCUGGGACAAGCCCUGGAAACGGGGUCUAAUACCGGAUACUGAUCCUCGCAGGCAUCUGCGAGGUUCGAAAGCUCCGGCGGUGCAGGAUGAGCCCGCGGCCUAUCAGCUAGUUGGUGAGGUAACGGCUCACCAAGGCGACGACGGGUAGCCGGCCUGAGAGGGCGACCGGCCACACUGGGACUGAGACACGGCCCAGACUCCUACGGGAGGCAGCAGUGGGGAAUAUUGCACAAUGGGCGAAAGCCUGAUGCAGCGACGCCGCGUGAGGGAUGACGGCCUUCGGGUUGUAAACCUCUUUCAGCAGGGAAGAAGCGAAAGUGACGGUACCUGCAGAAGAAGCGCCGGCUAACUACGUGCCAGCAGCCGCGGUAAUACGUAGGGCGCAAGCGUUGUCCGGAAUUAUUGGGCGUAAAGAGCUCGUAGGCGGCUUGUCACGUCGGUUGUGAAAGCCCGGGGCUUAACCCCGGGUCUGCAGUCGAUACGGGCAGGCUAGAGUUCGGUAGGGGAGAUCGGAAUUCCUGGUGUAGCGGUGAAAUGCGCAGAUAUCAGGAGGAACACCGGUGGCGAAGGCGGAUCUCUGGGCCGAUACUGACGCUGAGGAGCGAAAGCGUGGGGAGCGAACAGGAUUAGAUACCCUGGUAGUCCACGCCGUAAACGGUGGGCACUAGGUGUGGGCAACAUUCCACGUUGUCCGUGCCGCAGCUAACGCAUUAAGUGCCCCGCCUGGGGAGUACGGCCGCAAGGCUAAAACUCAAAGGAAUUGACGGGGCCCGCACAAGCGGCGGAGCAUGUGGCUUAAUUCGACGCAACGCGAGAACCUUACCAAGGCUUGACAUACACCGGAAACCCUG
rnacentral:rRNA from 1 species